GGCCUUAUCGUCUAGCCUGGUCUAGGACGCCUCCCUUUCACGGAGGAAACCCGGGUUCGAAUCCCGGUAGGGCUA
rnacentral:tRNA from 1 species